ensembl:lncRNA
AUGAGCAGUUGUUCUCUUUUGCUCAAUUGUCUUCGAGGACCCGAGGACAUUAACAUUUUUUGAUCAAAGGCGUCUGAGCCGUCGCAUCGGGCGCGUGAGCGCCAAUCGGCAGCGGAGGCCUCACUAAUCUGUGGGUACGGAGGCAGAGGGAGCUGACAGGAAGGUUUCCCAGCACCGCGACCCCUCCAGCUCGCUCACCUCCGCAGACGUGGUGGCGAUGCAGCCUUCGUCGGGGCACCAUCACGCCAAC